rnacentral:rRNA from 1 species
UACGUACCGUCCAAACGUUAUUCGGAAUUACUGGGCUUAAAGGGUACGUAGGCGGCGCUGUUAGUCGGGUGUGAAAUCCCUCGGCUCAACCGAGGAACCGCGCCCGAUACUGCAGUGCUUGAGGGAGACAGAGGUAAGCGGAACUGAUGGUGGAGCGGUGAAAUGCGUUGAUAUCAUCAGGAACACCGGUGGCGGAAGCGGCUUACUGGGUCUCUUCUGACGCUGAGGUACGAAAGCCAGGGGAGACGGAAG